AAACCCGACCAUGUUGGGAAACCUAAACAUCCCGGAAAACAUAGAGAAUCUGAAAAAGCUAAAAAUCCUGAGGAACCCGACCAUGUUGGGAAACCUAAACAUCCUGGAAAACAUGGAGAAUCUGAAAAAGCUAAAAAUCCUGAGAAAUCCGACCAUCUUGGGAAACCUAAACAUCCCGGAAAACAUGCAGAGUCUGAUAAAGCUAAACAUCCUGAGAAACCCGAUCAUGUUGGGAAACCUAAACAUCCUGGAAAACAUGGAGAAUCUGAUAAAGCUAAACAUCCUGAAGAACCCAACCAUGUUGGGAAACCUAAACAUCCUGGAAAACAUGCAGAGUCUGAUAAAGCUAAACAUCCUAAGGAACCCGACCGUGUCGGGAAACCUAUACAUCCUGGAAAACAUGGAGAGGCUGAUAAAGCUAAACAUCCUGAGGAACCCGACCGUGUCGGGAAACCUAAACAUUCUGGAAAACAUGGAGAAUCUGAAAAAGCUAAACAUCCUGAGGAACCUGACCAUGUUGGGAAACCUAAACAUCAUGGAAAACAUCCAGAACAACUUGGACAUGACAGGAAAUCUGAACAUUCUGGCAACAAUGAACAUUCUAAAAUGCCUAAACAUGAGCAUGAACAUUAUGAACAUUAUGAACAUUAUGAACAUCAUGCACAACCUAAUCAUCCUGGCAAUGAACAUCCUGCAAAAGACAAACAUCCUAAGAAGCCUGAACAGCUAAAAGAUCUAAGACAUGACAGGAAACUUAAACAUCUUGGUAAACACCCACAUUCUAAGAAACCUGAACAUCCUGACAAAUCUAAAUCUCUUGAACAACCUGAACCAUUUGGAAAACAAAGACAAACCAAGAAACAAAAGUAUCCUGACAAGUCAGAUAAAACAAAACAACCUGAGCAACUUAUGCACAAUGGCAAACCUGAGGACCAUGUGAAACCACGUGAGAAACCGACACAUUCUGAAAAAUCUGAGCAUCAUAGGAAAUCUGAGCAUCCCAACAAGAAACAAACCCUGAACCCAGACGAAGCUGCACAUCACACACAAAAAGAACAUUUCUUCAAAUCUGAAAUUAUACAUCCUAGCAUGCAUGAGAUUUCAAGGAAACAUAAAUAUUCCCAGAAAUAUGAACAUUUUGAAAAAUCUUUGAGUGGCGCUAAGCAUCAGCAUCACUUUAAAUGGCUUGAUAAACACGUAGGUUCUGCUAGGAAUCGCUAUCACAAUGAAUGGGUCGAUGAAUCAGUCACUUAUCGCUCACAUGAGGAGAAACUGGACCACCCUGAAAAAUCCGAAAAUUCUCAGGAACCAGAGCAUCACAGUAAACUCAACCAUCCAGAUAAACACUCAAAGGCUGAGAAACCUCAGCAUUCUAGAAAGCAUGGAGAGUCUGACAAAGCUAAACAUCCUGAGAAACCUGACCAUGUUAGGAAAACGCCGACCAUGUUUGGAAAACGCAAACAUUUUAAAAAUCUUGAACAUGAUACAAAACCUAUGCAUUCUGGAAAACACACAAUAAAUACUGGACAUGACAGGAAACCUGAACAUCCUAAGAAUUCUGUAAACUCUAGACAGCCUGACCAUCUGAAGCAACCUGAAAAUCUUAAAGGUCCUGAGAUUCCUGAACGUACUGAGAAUCCUGAACAACUUCAGAAUCCUGAACAUCCUGAGAAUCCUAAAAAGCUUCAGAAUCCUGAACGUCAUGAGAAUCCUAAACAAACUGAGAGUCCCGAAAACCGUGACAAUCAUAACCAACUCAAGAAUUCCAAACGUCCUGAGAGUCCUGAACAACUUGAGAAUCCUGAACCUCUUGGGAAUCCAAAACAUGAGAGAACCGAAAGUCAUGAGAAUCCUAAACACACUGAAAGCCCUGAACGUUCUGAGAAGCCUGAACAUCAUGAGAAUAUUGAAAGUCCUGAAUAUCCUAAACAACCCAAGAGUCCUGAACGCCCUGAGUAUCCUAAACAAACUGAAAGUCCUGAACGUCCUGAGAAUCCUGAAGGUGCACAGAAUCCAAAACAACUUAAAAAUCCUAAACAUCCUGAGAACCCUAAACAGACUGAGAGCCCUAAACAUCUUAAGAAUCCUAAACAACUUCAGGAUCCUGAAAUUUCUGACAAUCUUAAACAAACCAAGAAUCCUGAACGUCCUGAGAGUUCUAAACAACUUGAUAAUCCUGAACGUCCUGAGAAUCCCAAUCGCCAGAAUCUCAAACGUCCUGAAAAUCCUAAGGAAAUUCAGAAUCCCUAUCAUCCUGAGAAUCCUCAAAAACUUCAGAAUACUGAACAUUCUGAGAAUCCUGAACAAUUCCAGAAAGCUGAACGCCUUAAAUAUCCCGAUCAACUUCAGUAUGCUGAACGUUCUAAGAAUCCUGGACGUCUGAACAAUCCUGAACAUCCUAAAAAUCAUAAACAACUUCAGAAUCCUGAACAUCGUGAAAAUCCUAAUCAGACUGAGAGUCCUGAACGUCCUGAGAAUCCUAAACAAACUGCAGGUCUUGAACCUUCUGAGAAUCCUAAACGCCGUGAGAAUCUUGAACGUCCUGAAAAUCCUAAACAACUUAAGAGUCCUGAACAUCCUAAGAAUCCUGAACGUCCUGAGUAUCCUAAACAACCUAGGAGUCCUGAACGUCCUGAGAAUCCUAAACAAUCCAAGAAUCCUGAAGCUCUGAACAAUCCUGAACAUCCCAAAAAUCCAAACCAACUUCAGAAUCCUGAACGUCAUGAGAAUCCUAAACAAGCUAAGAGUUCUGAACAACCUGAGAAUCCUGAACGUCCUGAGUAUCCUAAACAACCUAAGAGUCCUGAACGUCCUGAAAAUUCUAAACAACCUAAGGAUCCUGAACCUCUGAAGAAUCCUGAACAUCCUAAAAAUCCAAACCAACUUCAGAAUCCUGAACAUCAUGAGAAUCCUAAACAAACUAACAAUCCUGAACACCCUGAGAAACCUAACCAACUUCAGAAUCCUGAACAUCCUGAGAAUCCAAACCAACUUCAGAAUCCUGAACAUCAUGAGAAUCCUAAACAAACUAACAAUCCUGAACACCCUGAGAAACCUAACCAACUUCAGAAUCCUGAACAUCCUGAGAAUCCUAACCAACUUCAGAAUCCUAAACAACCUAAGAGUCCUGAACGUUCUGAGAAUCCUAAACAUCCUGAGAAUCCUAAACAACCUAAGAGUCCUGAACAACCUAUGAGUCCUAAACGUCCCGAGUAUCCUAAACAACCUAAGAGUCUUGAACAUCUGAACAACCCUGAACAUCCUAAAAAUCCUAACCAACUUCAGAAUCCUGAUCAUCAUGAGAAUCCUAAACAACCUAAGAAUCCUGAACGUCCUGAGAAUCCUAACCACCUUCAGAAUCCUGAACAUCAUGAGAAUCCUAAACAACCUAAGAGUCCUGAACAUCCUGAGUAUCCUAAACAAACUGAGAGUCCGGAACGUCUUGAGAAUCCUAAACAACCUAGGAAUCCUGAACCUCUGAACAAUCCUGAACAUCCUACUAAUACUAACCAACUUCAGAAUCCUAAACAUCCUGAGAAUCCUAAACAACCUAAGAGUUCUGAACAACCUGAGAAUCCUGGACGUCCCGAGUAUCCUAAACAACCUAAGAUUCCUGAACGACCUGAGAAUCCUAAACAAACUGAGAGUCCGGAACGUCUUGAAAAUCCUAAACAACCUGAGAAACCUGAACCUCUGAACAAUCCUGAACAUCCUAAAAAUCCUAACCAACUUCAGAAUCCUGAACGUCAUGAGAAUCCUAAACAUCCUGAGAAUCCUAAACAACCUAAGAGUUCUAAAGAAACUGAGAGUCCUGAACGUCCUAAGUAUCCCAACCACCUUCAGAAUCCUGAACAUCAUGAGAAUCCUAAACAACCUAAGAGUCCUGAACGCCCUGAGUAUCCUAAACAAACCGAGAGUCCGGAAGGUCUUGAGAAUCCUAAAAAACCUAAGAAUCCCAAACCUCUGAACAAUCCUGAACAUCCUAACAAUCCUAACCAACUUCAGAACCCUAAACAUCCUGAAAAUCCUAAACAACCUAAGAGUCCUGAACGUUCUGAGAAUCCUAAACAUUCUGAGAAUCCUAAACAACCUAAGAGAUCUGAACAACCUGAGAGUCCUGAACUUCCUGAGUAUUCUAAAAAACCUAGGAGUCCUGAAGGACCUGAGAAUCCUAAACAAACUGAGAGUCCGGAACGUCUUGAGAAUUCUAAGCAACCUAAGAAUCCCCAACCUCUGAACAAUCCUGAACAUCCUAAAAAUCCUAACCAACUUCAGAAUCCUGAACGUCAUGAGAAUCCUAAACAACCUAAGAAUUCUGAACCUCUGAACAAUCCUGAACAUCCUAAAAAUCCUAACCAACUUCAGAAUCCUGGACGUCAUGAGAAUCCUAAACAUCCUGAGAAUCCUAAACAACCCAAAAUUUCUAAAGAACCUGAGAGUCCUGAACGUCCUGAGUAUCCCAACCACCUUCAGAAUCCUGAACAUCAUGAGAAUCCUAAACAACCUAAGCAUCCUGAACGUCCUGAGUAUCCUAAACAAACUGAGAGUCUGGAACGUCUUGAGAAUCCUAAACAACCUAAGAAUCUUGAACCUCUGAACAAUCCUGAACAUCCUAAAAAUCCUAACCACCUUCAGAAUCCUGAACAUCAUGAGAAUCCUAAACAACCUGCGAGUCCUGAACGUCCUGAGUAUCCUAAACAACCUAAGAGUCCUGAAGGACCUGCGAAUCCUAAACAAACUGAGAGUCCGGAACGUCUUGAGAAUCCUAAGCAACCUAAGAACCCCGAACCUCUGAACAAUCCUGAACAUCCUAAAAAUCCUAACCAACUUCAGAAUCCUGAACGUCAUGAGAAUCCUAAACAAGCUAAGAGUUCUGAACAACCUGAGAAUCCUGAACGUCCUGAGUAUCCUAAAGACCCUAAGAGCCCUAAACGACCUGAGCAUCCUAAAGAACCUAAGAGCCCUAAACGACCUGAGUAUCCUAAACAAACUGAGAGUCUGGAACGUCUUGAGAAUCCUAAACAACCUAAGAAUCCUGAACCUCUGAACAAUCCUGAACAUCCUAAAAAUCCUAACCACCUUCAGAAUCCUGAACAUCAUGAGAAUUCUAAACAACCUGAGAGUCCUGAACGUCCUGAGUAUUCUAAACAACCUAAGAGUCCUGAAGGACCUGAGUAUCCUAAACAAACUGAGGGUCCGGAACGUCUUGAGAAUCCUAAACAACCUAAGAAUCCCGAACCUCUGAACAAUUCUGAACAUCCUAAAAAUCCUAACCAACUUCAGAAUCCUAAACAUCCUGAGAAUCCUAAACAACCUAAGAGUUCUGAACAACCUGAGGGUCCUGAACGUCCUGAGUAUCCUAAAGAACCUAAGAGCCCCAAACGACCUGAGAAUCCUAAACAAACUGAGGGUCCGGAACGUCUUGAGAAUCCUAAACAACCUAAGAAUCCCGAACCUCUGAACAAUUCUGAACAUCCUAAAAAUCCUAACCAACUUCAGAAUCCUGAACAUCAUGAGAAUCCUAAACAAGCUAAGAGUCCUGAACGUUCUGGGAAUCCUAAACAUCCUGAGAAUCCUAAACAACCUAAGAGUUCUGAACAACCUGAGAGUCCUGAACGUCCUAAGUAUCCCAACCACCUUCAGAAUCCUGAACAUCAUGAGAAUCCUAAGCAACCUAAGAGUCCUGAACGUCCUGAGUAUCCUAAACAAACUGAGAGUCUGGAACAUCUUGAGAAUCCUAAACAACCUAAGAAUCCCGAACCUCUAAACAAUCUUGAACAUCCUAAAAAUCCUAACCAACUUCAGAAUCCUAAACAACCUAAGAGUUCUGAACAACCUGAGAGUCCUGAACGUCUUGAGUAUCCUAAACAACCUAAGAGUCCUGAACGACCUGAGAAUCCUAAACAAACUAAGAGUCUUGAACGUCUUGAGAAUCCUAAACAACCUAAGAAUUCCGAAUCUCUGAACAAUCCUGAACAUCCUAAAAAUCCUAACCAAUUUCAGAAUCCUGAACAUCAUGAGAAUCCUAAACAACCUAAGAGUCCUGAACGUUCUGAGAAUCCUGAACAUCCUGAGAAUCCUAAACAACCUAAGAGUCCUGAACGUCUUGAGUAUCCUAAACAACCUAAGAGUCCUGAACGUCUUGAGUAUCCUAAACAACCUAAGAGUCCUGAACGCCCUGCGUAUCCUAGACAAACUGAGAGUCCGGAUCGUCAUGAGAACCCUAAACAACUUAAGAAUCCCGAACCUCUGAACAAUCCUGAGCAUCCUAAAAAUCCUAAACAACUUCAGAAUCCUGAACAUCAUGAGAAUCCUAAUCAACUUCAGAAUCCUAAACAACCUAAGAGUCCUGAACGUCCUGAGAAUUCUAAAGAACCCAAGAGUCCUGAACGUCAUGAGUAUCCUGAAAGUCCAAAGAAUCCAAAACAACUUCAUAAUCCUGAACGCCCUGAGUAUCCUAAACAAACUGAGAGUCCUGAACGUCCUGUAAAUUCUAAACAACCUAAGAAUCCUGAACAUCCUGAGAAUCCUAAACAACUUCAGAAUCCUAAACAAUCUGAGAGUACUAAGCAUCCUGAGAAUCUUAAACAAACUAGGAAUCCUGAACAUCCUGAGAUUACUACACAAACUGAAAGUCCUGAACGUCCUGAGAAUCCUGAAGGUCCACAGAAUCCAAAACAACUUCAUAAUCCUGAGCAUCCUGAGAAUCCUAAACAAAUUGAGAAACCUAAACAUUCCGAGAAACCUGAACGUCUGAACAAUCCUGAACGUCCUAAAAAUUCUAACCAACUUCAGAAUCCUGAACAUCGUGAGAAUCUUGAACAUCCUGAAAAUCCUAAACAACCUAAGAGUCCUGAACGUCCUGAUUAUCCUGAAAGUCCACAGAAUCCAAAACAACUUCAUAAUCCUGAACAUCCUGAGAAUCCUAAACAAACCGAGAACCCUAAACGUCUUGAGAAACCUAAACAAACUGAGAGUAUUAAACAUCGUGAGAAUCUUAAACAAACUAAGAAUCCUGAACAUCCUGAUAAUUCUAAACAACUUGAGAAUCCUGAGCGUCCUGAGAAUCAUAAACAACUUGAAAAACCUAAACGUCCAGAGAAUCCUGAACACCCUCAGAAUCCCAAACAAACUGAGAAUCAUAAACAUUUAAAGAAUCCUAAACACACUGGGAGUCCUGAAGAGCCUCAGAAUCCUGAACUACCUGAGCAUGAACAUUAUAAUUUAGACACUUCUGGACACUCCAAUGCUAAACCUGACCAACACAAUGAGAAACCUGAACAUUUUGGAAAACCUGACAAUCAUCAAAAAAAAGAACAUACAAGCAAGAACAAACCCAAAAAUUCUGACAAAUUCGUACAACCUAUACAAGAAGAAUAUUUCUUCAAUUCUGAAAUCGAACAACAUGGCAUGCAUGAACUUUCUAAAAUGCAUAAACAGUCCCAUGAUUAUGAAUAUUCUGAUGAUUCAGUCAGGCCAAUUAGAGACCAGUAUCGCUUUAAAUGGCUUGAACCCGUAGGUCCUGCUGGGCAUCGUUAUCGCCAUGAAUGGGUGGAUAAAUCAGUUGGUUCUGUCGGGUAUCAUAAUAGAUUCAAAUGGGCUGAUAAUUCUGCAGGCUAUGGCAAACAUCGGUAUGGCUUUAAAUGGGCUGAUAAGUCUGCAGGCUAUGGCAAACAUCGGUAUGGCUUUAAAUGGGCCGAUAAGUCUGCAGGCUAUGGCAAACAUCGGUAUGGCUUUAAAUGGGCUGAGAAGUCUGGAGGUCAUGGCAAACAUCGUUAUGGCUUCAAAUGGGCUGAUAAUUCUGCAGGCUAUGGCAAACAUCGGUAUGGCUUUAAAUGGGCUGAUAAGUCUGCGGGUCAUGGCAAACAUCGUUAUGGCUUUAAAUGGGCUGAGAAGUCUGUAGGUUAUGGCAAACAUCGGUAUGGCGACCAAUGGGCUAAGAAGUCUGCAGGCUAUGGCAAACGUCGGUAUGGCGACAAAUUGGCUGAGAAGUCUUCCAAACAUCAUUAUCGCCUUAAAUGGGCCAAUAAGUCUGUAGAUGCUUUCAAGCAUCAAUACUUUCUUAAACAGAAUCAAAAUCCCCUUAAAUGGACUGGUGAGCAUAAACUUUUUGGCACACAGGGUGAAAUAGGUGACUGUUGCUGCAGUACUAAGUGUUGUAGUAGAAACACUUGUAGCCCAAACACCAAUGUAAUGGGUAGUCCCUGCUGUAAACCGAAAUGUUGCAGCAUCAAACAAAAAUGCAACAAAAUGGCUUGUGCAAGAAAUUCUCACCGAUCCUCCAGGCUGUGUGAGGGACAGAGCGGGACGCUGCAGUGUCCAAAAGGAAAACCCUUGUCUUAGCAAUCAUGAAUAACUGCUUCUUGUUACGAUUGCGCGUGAGUGCAUUUGGGGCCCACUAUAGCACACACUCCUCCAUGGCUGGCAGUGAGCAGAUCUAACACCAGGCGGUCUUAGUGCGGUAAGAUGACGAUCUAUACCGGCAAGGGCUUGUACCCUAACAUUGAAGAACAGGAUCAUACGGUAAUUUAUGGUUUCAACUCUCAGCCAGCUUCCUGUUUUAUUUUGUAGCCACUUCCGGGUUUUGUUCAUUCAUGUUUUCCGUUACCUUGACUAUUCAUCUACCACCUGCGUUUCAGCAGUAAUCAGCCUGUGCAGUCACCAGUACUUACCUUAGUUCCCGACAGAUUGUAGCUUAUUUUCACCGCCGUCCUGCGUUGUCCCAUGAAGCUGAGUGUCUGUAAGGUUUCGUAUCUUUGUGGAAUCUCACUGCCUGUACCGAAACUGAUCCGGACUGAUCUGUCGCCAACCUGUACAAGUGUAAGAACCUGAUUUUGCCUCUGCUGGUUGCUUUCCCAUGUACCGACCUCCGCCUGUUUGAUCACAGAGUUACCGUAUUAAAGCUUUUCUUCUCUGCAUCUGCCUGUCUCCCAGAACAAUCUAACCCUCACCUUUAACUUGUCUUACAGUCGUUGCUUCUGCUGCACCUCCAAACAUAAGACGACUUAAAGCUUCAUGUAAAGAAGGUUCUACAUAUGAUGGAGUAGAGGGUAGAUAAGUGUCUUACUGUCUUUUAGCUCAUUAACUGUCCUGUUCAUGUUAAACCAUCUAUUAAUUCUCUUUUAGUUUUUUAUUUUUGCUUCUCUCCUAACAAUUACAGCUCAGGGACCAGAUGGCAGGCAUGCAUCUCUGUUUUUUUAUGAUUAAUAAAAAGUCCAGAUUUGAAGAGAAACAUUCUCCAGAGUCGUCUACAGCCAUGAGUCAACGCCUGCUGUAGCUGCCAUCUACAAGAAGAGCUGAAAAAAACACAUUUCCACCAUCUCUGCCCCUGCUGUACUCACCAACAGCUGCUCGCAGUAGACCUGUGAAGACAGGAGGAAGUUUUUGUUUUGGACCACAGGCACUGGCCAGCUCCUAUGAGGAAGGACAUCAAUGACCAAACACCACAGACAGAAGGACAUGACUUGUGGACCAGGAGUAUGGAGUCCUGUAUGCACCCAAACAGCUUUUUACACCCCACAACAAAGUUACAUAUUUCCCACUGUGUAAAACACCUCCGCAAAUUUAAGAACACCAGAUCCUCUCUGAAACUACAAGACACGCAACAACUCACGCACAAUACAUUUAUUGCCCAGCAGAAGUUCAUCCCUUGUAUAGGGAUAAGGGCGUGGAGAGAGAGAUGACCUGGAAAGAAAACGAAAUAUGAAUAUAUUAUUAAAUGAAUAUUGUAUGAAUGUCUCCAUAUUUAUUGCAGUAGUAAGUAUUUCAGUCCUUAGAAUUCAGUCAUCAGAAUGUUGCAGCUGUUUAGCAUUUUUUUGCUGUUUAAACUCAAACAUACAUAACACACAUUUAGACACACAGUCCAACCUGCUGGGCUUGUCACAUAACCCACAUAAGCAGUGUCCUGGCGUCCCGCCAGCUGGAUAGUCCUUAUAUGGGCACCAGGACAUCCGACGAAAUAACGGGAAGCUCCAUAUUUGGGCUACAGCAGCUCUUCCUGCAGGGAGCAGGAGGCUAAGUAGCAACCAUUGAUCUCAUUGGCUGUUUGGAUUUAUCCGCUGACACACAGGCCAAAGGUGAGAUAGUGUGUUGACUAUAAUCUACAUCUAAAGACUGACUUCAAUGUUUAACUGUAGACUUUGGCCCAAAUCUCUUCCAUUAUUCUGUUAGAUUUGUUUAUGAUUUCACAUUUUUUAAAUCCAUUUAGAGUGUCAAUUUGUUUUUUUUCCUACAGUAUGAUUUCUGAAAUCCAGUUUCAUAUACAUAUUUACAUGCUGCCAGGCAUAAAAUAAAAAUGAAGAAGGACUGAAUCACCGGAGACUGACGUCCCAGGUUGAACACGGUGUUGAUGCGCUAUUUAAAAGGACAUUUACAAACUUUUUGACCAUCAAAACAGUCUGUCUCCAUAGCCCCACAUGUUUGCUUUCAGCUAUAUAACAUGUUCUUCCUUUAGGACAAUUUCAUUACAUUGGUCCUUGUGGUCCUAUUUGCUUGCAACUUGUUGUUUUCAUCUGGAAUCAUCUGCAAUAAAACAACCAACAUGUUUCUGA